rnacentral:ncRNA from 1 species
CGGGAGGCAGCAGUGGGGAAUUUUCCGCAAUGGGCGAAAGCCUGACGGAGCAAUGCCGCGUGGAGGUGGAAGGCCUACGGGUCGUCAACUUCUUUUCUCGGAGAAGAAACAAUGACGGUAUCUGAGGAAUAAGCAUGGGCUAACUCUGUGCCAGCAGCCGCGGUAAGACAGAGGAUGCAAGCGUUAUCCGGAAUGAUUGGGCGUAAAGCGUCUGUAGGUGGCUUUUCAAG